UGAAGGCUCAUCUUUCUUGCAAAACAUUGCAGAAAGCCAUGCCUGGAUCAAGGAACAUCACAAUGAGUACAACCUUGGCAUGCAUGCGGUCCCUCCCCUUCCUGACCUGGUGCUGCCGCAACUGACUGUGUCCUAGGCUGUAAUGGAGUGAAUAAUGGCCAUCUCUGUG